GUGAACGCUGGCGGUAGGCCUAACACAUGCAAGUCGAACGGCAGCACAGUAAGAGCUUGCUCUUACGGGUGGCGAGUGGCGGACGGGUGAGGAAUACAUCGGAAUCUACUUUUUCGUGGGGGAUAACGUAGGGAAACUUACGCUAAUACCGCAUACGACCUGCGGGUGAAAGCAGGGGAUCUUCGGACCUUGCGCGAUUGAAUGAGCCGAUGUCGGAUUAGCUAGUUGGCGGGGUAAAGGCCCACCAAGGCGACGAUCCGUAGCUGGUCUGAGAGGAUGAUCAGUCACACUGGAACUGAGACACGGUCCAGACUCCUACGGGAGGCAGCAGUGGGGAAUAUUGGACAAUGGGCGCAAGCCUGAUCCAGCCAUACCGCGUGGGUGAAGAAGGCCUUCGGGUUGUAAAGCCCUUUUGUUGGGAAAGAAAAGCAGCAGGUUAAUACCCCGCUGUUCUGACGGUACCCAAAGAAUAAGCACCGGCUAACUUCGUG
rnacentral:rRNA from 1 species